rnacentral:rRNA from 1 species
UACAGGGGGGGCAAGCGUUGUUCGGAAUUACUGGGCGUAAAGGGCUCGUAGGUGGCCAACUAAGUCAGACGUGAAAUCCCUCGGCUUAACCGGGGAACUGCGUCUGAUACUGGAUGGCUUGAGUUCGGGAGAGGGAUGCGGAAUUCCAGGUGUAGCGGUGAAAUGCGUAGAUAUCUGGAGGAACACCGGUGGCGAAGGCGGCAUCCUGGACCGAUACUGACACUGAGGAGCGAAAGCCAGGGGAGCAAACGGG